UACUAAUGUUCUGCAUUUUUGGAGUCAUUUCAUUUCCAGCAGGCUUAUGUUUUUUAAUGCUGUAAAUUUCAGGUUUUAUCAUGGUGAUCCAGUGCUAAAUCCUCUUACACCUUGGGAUAGACCUCCAUUGAAAAACAUUUUCUGUAUACAUGGGAUAGAUAUGAAGACUGAGUUACAACAAAGUGGGUUGCUUAAAGGGGAUGAUCUCAUGGAUCGCUUUUUCUGAAUCCUCAUGAAAAUUUCUGUGGCAAAUUGUUUGGCCACUGACAUGAUUAAUCCAAGCUCAUUGUCCCUACAAAUGCCACAACAAGUCUAGCAUCUCUCAUUUGCUGUUAUUGAUAUGUAUGCAAAGCUUGUGGUUUUAGUUAUUAAGUUUGGGUAUCUAUGAACAGUAUCAGGAGCAAUGGGAUGAUCUGUUGCAACCCCAUGUGGUAAGAAGGUUGGCCAGCAGCAACACCGUCUCUCUCAGAUGUAGCUCCAUCUGAAUUCUCAAGUUUCAAAUUUUCACUUUCUUGUGGCAAUUUCUCAUUUUGGCUAACAUCAGCUGACUGCAAUUGGCUAGUGGAUGCAGCCUUUUUAGUUCACCCUUCAGCCUUCUUAUUGCGGAAUUCCUCCAGCUGGAAAAAGAAGCAAAUGAAACUUCAGGAAGCAAAGGAGAUUCAUACCCCAACUGGCCAGAACAAUGUUAUCAAUCAACAAAAAUACUGCAAAUGCAUAUCUGAAUGCAGAGCUGUUUCACUUACAUUUAUAGAGGUUUAAGCUAUAUAGCAAAAAUGAUUCCAUAAUUGCAAUUAUAAUGCAGGUGAACAACUAGGAUUGGUAGAAGAAUAAUUCAAUUUGCAGUAGAGGCUCCAUAUUUCCAAAAGACAACAAUGAUAGUUGUGUUCAAUCAUAUUCACAUCACCCUUUGUUCAAACAAAUUCACAUGAGCAAGGAAAAAAUUGUAAGAUUUUUUAGCAGUGUCACCGUCCCUCCCUCCCUCUAUUGCUUUUUGAGCAACCCGAAAAUACCACACUAAAAAAUUCCUGCAAUAUCUGAUGUUGCAUCAGAAAGACAAUCCACUGUAUGCAACUACUUGAUAAUGAUUUUGUUUGCAAUCUUUCCUAAGAGUAAUUUGGGUUUGUUGUAUAUGAUUAAAGAAUUCUUUUAGUUGCUUACUUGAUUGCUAGUUUAAGUGGUUGUGGUUUUUUCUUGGCAGGUUGUGGGUUUGUUGUAUAUGAAGUUCAAUCAAGAAUGGUAACUCCCUCUCCUUUUUGUUGCAUUGUAAAAAGAAGUGCAUUUGCUUGGUAUGCUGGUUGCAGGUGAUUUAACUGAAAAUCAUAUCUACUUUGCAAACCAUGUCGAGAUUUUUGGAGGUAAGUAGGCACGAUCAUUGUGGAUGGAGCAUCCUGUAAUUGACAACCCGUGCACAUUACGAUACUAGCCAUGUAUAUAACAUGUUCCCCCAUUUUAACAAUGGAAAUGUGGAAUUUGUUGCUAGAAUUUUUUGUUUGAUUCAAAUCAAACUCCUUUCAUCUCAUGACUUAGUUCGGUUUCUUGUGCAGAUAGUGGAAUAUAUACAUGUCUUUUAAUGGAUGUUGUGAAAUGAGGUUUGUUCAUGCAUGGAUCUAUGGAAUUAGGUGAAAGCAGAUUUGGAUUGAGCUUUGUGAUUUAUUUUUACUUUGGUUUU